rnacentral:rRNA from 1 species
UACGUAGGGUCCGAGCGUUGUCCGGAGUUACUGGGCGUAAAGCGUGCGCAGGCGGUUUUGUAAGCCAGAUGUGAAAUCCCCGGGCUCAACCUGGGAAUGGCAUUUGGGACUGCAAGGCUGGAGUGCGGCAGAGGAGACUGGAAUUCCUGGUGUAGCAGUGGAAUGCGUAGAUAUCAGGAGGAAUACCGAUGGCGAAGGCAGGUCUCUGGGCUGACACUGACGCUCAUGCACGAAAGCGUGGGGAGCAAACAGG